rnacentral:rRNA from 2 species
GAUGAACGCCGGCGGUGUGCCUAAUACAUGCAAGUCGAACGCGUUGGCCCAAUUGAUUGAUGGUGCUUGCACCUGAUUGAUUUUGGUCGCCAACGAGUGGCGGACGGGUGAGUAACACGUAGGUAACCUGCCCAGAAGCGGGGGACAACAUUUGGAAACAGAUGCUAAUACCGCAUAACAGCGUUGUUCGCAUGAACAACGCUUAAAAGAUGGCUUCUCGCUAUCACUUCUGGAUGGACCUGCGGUGCAUUAGCUUGUUGGUGGGGUAACGGCCUACCAAGGCGAUGAUGCAUAGCCGAGUUGAGAGACUGAUCGGCCACAAUGGGACUGAGACACGGCCCAUACUCCUACGGGAGGCAGCAGUAGGGAAUCUUCCACAAUGGGCGCAAGCCUGAUGGAGCAACACCGCGUGAGUGAAGAAGGGUUUCGGCUCGUAAAGCUCUGUUGUUAAAGAAGAACACGUAUGAGAGUAACUGUUCAUACG